UUAAUAUUAGUUUAAUAUAAAACAGAAUUUUUCUAAAAUUAAGAUUUCUUAAUGAAAUAUUAUA
rnacentral:tRNA from 1 species